rnacentral:rRNA from 1 species
UGGGGAAUAUUGGUCAAUGGACGAGAGUCUGAACCAGCCAUGCCGCGUGCAGGAAGACGGCCUUCUGGGUUGUAAACUGCUUUUAUACAGGAAGAAAAGGUCCUUGCGAGGGCAAUUGCCGGUACUGUAUGAAUAAGCACCGGCUAACUCCGUGCCAGCAGCCGCGGUAAUACGGAGGGUGCAAGCGUUGUCCGGAUUUAUUGGGUUUAAAGGGUACGUAGGCGUCCCGACAAGUUUCCGGUGAAAUCUCACGACUCAAUCGUGAAACUGCCGGGAAAACUGUCGGGAUUGAGUAUUGUUAAGGUAGGCGGAAUUGAUGGUGUAGCGGUGAAAUGCAUAGAUACCAUCAGGAACACCGAUUGCGAAGGCAGCUUACUGGGCAGUAACUGACGCUAAUGUACGAAAGCGUGGGGAGCGAACAGGAUUAGAUACCCCUGUAGUCC